rnacentral:rRNA from 1 species
AUCUGGUGGCCUCAGGUCAUCCGAGUUGUAAUCUAUAGAAGUGUUUUCCGUGCUGGCUCAUGUACAAGUCCCUUGGAACAGGGCGUCAUAGAGGGUGAGAAUCCCGUCCUUGACAUGAACUACCAGUGCUCUGUGAUACAUUUUCAACGAGUCGAGUUGUUUGGGAAUGCAGCUCAAAAUGGGUGGUAAAUUCCAUCUAAAGCUAAAUAUUGGCGAGAGACCGAUAGCGAACAAGUACCGUGAGGGAAAGAUGAAAAGCACUUUGGAAAGAGAGUUAAACAGUAUGUGAAAUUGUUGAAAGGGAAACGAUUGAAGUCAGUCGUGCUCUUUGGAUUCAGCCGGUUCUGCCGGUGUACUUCCUUUGAGUGGGGUCAACAUCAGUUUUGAUCGCUGGAUAAAGGCUGGAGGAACGUAGUACCCUCGGGUAAACUUAUAGCCUCCUGUCACAUACAGUGGUUGGGACUGAGGAACGCAGCACGCCUUUAUGGCCGGGAUUCGUCCACGUACGUGCUUAGGAUGUUGACAUAAUGGCUUUAAACGACCCGUCUUGA